rnacentral:rRNA from 1 species
CCUACGGGAGGCAGCAGUGAGGAAUAUUGGUCAAUGGGCGCGAGCCUGAACCAGCCAAGUAGCGUGAAGGAUGAAUGCCCUACGGGCUGUAAACUUCUUUUAUAAAGGAAUAAAGUGAGGCACGUGUGCCUUUUUGUAUGUACUUUAUCAAUAAGGAUCGGCUAACUCCGUGCCAGCAGCCGCGGUAAUACGGAGGUGCAGAGCGUUAUCCGGAUUUAUGGGGUUUAAGGGGAGCGUAGAUGGGUGGUUAAGUCAGUUGUGAAAGUUUGCGGCUCAACCGUAAAAUUGCAAUGGAUACUGGCAGUCUUGAGUACAGUUGAGGAAGGCGGAAUUCGUGGUGUAGCGGUGAAAUGCUUAGAUAUCACGAAGAACUCCGAUUGCGAGGGCAGCUUACUAAACGGCCACUGACAUUGAUGCUCGAGAGUGUGGGUAUCAAACAGGAUUAGAUACCCGGUAGUC